CUGCUCGUUGACUGUUUCUGGGGCUUGUGUUGCGUACCAAAAUAGAAGGAAUUGUUGCGGUUUAGUUCUAAUGUUGUUCGCGACAUCUCUUAGACGGAGAAGUCGUGAACACUAAAGCCGACACUUGUGAUCCUUGCGUUUAGGCACUAAAACUGUCUCGGUCGCUAAGGUGAAUAAGCUGCCGGUUGAGCUCUUGGAUGCGGAAAGAUUAUGGACGGUGACUCGAAGCAAUUCUGUCCCGCCAAAGCAAUUUGUCCUCGGACAAAAGAUGACGGUCAAGACCUCGGCUGCUCUCUCUUAUCUAGCGUUUGCGGGAAAUAGCCGGGCUGACUCUCAAUGA
rnacentral:misc_RNA from 1 species